UUCAUUCUUCUCUUUCUCAUUCCAGGCUCCCCGUCUUGCCGAAACCUACUGCGUGUGCCACUUGGCCACCGGAGACAUGCUGAGGGCCAUGGUGGCUACAGGCUCAGAUCUGGGGAAACGCUUGAAGCAGACGAUGGACGCUGGGAAGCUGGUGAGCGACGAAAUGGUGGUGGAGCUGAUUGAGAAAAACCUGGAGACCCCUCCCUGCAGGAACGGCUUCCUUUUGGACGGCUUCCCUCGUACCGUGCGGCAAGCAGAGAUGCUGGACGAACUGAUGGAGAAAAGAAAAGAGAAGUUAGAGUCUGUCAUCGAAUUCAGCAUCCCUGACUCCUUGUUGAUCCGGAGAAUUACUGGAAGGCUGAUCCACCCAGCAAGCGGCCGUUCGUACCAUGAAGAAUUCAACCCUCCGAAGGCCCCCAUGAAGGAUGACGUGACUGGGGAGCCCUUGAUCCGGCGUUCAGAUGACAAUGAAGUUGCCUUGAAAACUCGCCUGAAGGCGUAUCACACCCAGACAACGCCGCUAGUUGACUACUACUCCCGGCGUGGGAUCCACACAGCCGUCGAUGCUUCCCAGUCCCCGGAUGUGGUUUUUGCCAGCAUCCUGGCCGCUUUCUCGAAAGCAACAUGUAAAGACCUGGUCAUGUUCAUUUAGGGCUCUUCUCCUGUCUGGUCCUUCCUUCCUUCUUUCCUGUCUUCUGGGAUCAGAGAGAGAGAGCCGCAUGAAUCCAAGAGGUGGACGGGACGGGACACCGUGGACCGCUGCAAGUUCAUCCCACCAUCACCCCAUUUCGCUGCAUUUGAAAUACAUGGGGAUGGUGGGAGGGAAGCACCGUUGAAAGAAGGGGCAGAGAAAGCUGAGGGGUGGAGGAAGUUCUUUCCAGAAGACUAUUUGGGAAGAAAAAGGAUUGCACAGUGUCAAAAACCAGAUUGGAGAGAUGGAUGCCAUAGCUGGGACGCUGGAAAGUCAUGUGUUGCGAGAAAUGAUCUGUAAUGAGACAUCAGACCAGAGGGGUGCAUGACUCCCUCUGGAGUUUGUUGGACUGCAGCUCCCAGCAACCAAUGUUGAUGAAUGCUGGGAGCUGCAGUUGAACACGUGGAGAGUUGUGUGUGUCUCUCUCUUGACUUCAGUAAUAUAGAUUCUACCUCUGGCAUGUUUGUAUGACCUAAGAGUAAAAUGUGCCCCCAAUUUUUAAUCAGGAAUCCAGAACUUGGAAACAUGCCUUUUAUGGGCUAGAGCCUCCACAGAAUGCCCCAGUGGGCAUAGAGCCUUAGGGGCCUUCAGCUCCCAGACUGCCCCAGCUGUGCUGUUAAGGAGAUCCUCCUACUGGCAUAGGAGAGAGUCCUCUUUUCAUUUUUCCCUCCUCUAGAAGGCUAUUAGCAACCUCCUACAGAAGACUUUGCCUUCUGGACCUGGUGCUGCUUUAGCCUAAUUCUCCCUUGGAAAUCAAAAGGGAAAAACCCAAGCAUCCUUCUCCCAGAAACAUCUUGUGCUUCCAACCUGUUCACUUGCCUCCUUUAAAGAGACCACCUCUUGCUUCAAUAAAAACGGCUAACAAUUUUA